GUGCUUGCUUUGGCAGCACAUAUACUAAAAUUAGAAGGAUACAGAGAAGAUUAGCAUGGCCCCUGCACAAGGAAAUUACCUCACUUAAAAUAUAUUUAUGUAUCUAUU
ensembl:snRNA U6 U6 spliceosomal RNA